rnacentral:hammerhead_ribozyme from 1 species
AUUCAGCUCAUUUUUUACGAGUCCCAAAUAGGACGAAACGCGUGUCCUGGAU